AUUUCUUUUUAAUAUGUUGUGUACAGACUUAAUUACUUCUCUGUCUACUUUUCUUACUCCAUGUAGGUUUCCCAGAGACUAUGGGUUGAGGAGGAAUUGGAAGUUUGUCUGCUUAGACCUGGUGUCAUUCCAUCAGUGUUAAACUUCCCGGCUCAUCUUGGAAGAGUACGUGCCAGAAAGACCACGACCAAGCAGCCUUGAGAUCUUAGGCAGCGUCUCCCUGAGGUCCCUCUCUAUCUCCCCACACAUCCACCAACCACUGGAACACAUCUCCAAAGUUCUGCCAGGCCAGCUCAGCUUCCCCUCGGAAGAAGUACCACCAGAUGAAGGAGCCUUUUGAGAGGCAGCUAGCAUCGUGAUUGGACUGUACUUUGGUCUGUUCCAAUCCAGCUUCAGCUCCAGAGACGGCAGGCGGGACGAGUCAACGGAGGCCUGGUGGACGAAGGCAUGCAGCUGAGUACAAUCCAGAAAACAACAGAGGAGGAGUGCAGCAGCCCAGAGCCAGAACAACCAGAGUAGCAUGACCAAAGAACUACAGACUCUUCACAACCUGCUCAAACUCUUGGUACAGGACCUCACCACACGGGUCAAGAAAGUUUCCGUCUCAUUUCUACUCUGAAGCUCACCUUCUCCUGCUCAAGCUGAUGACAAAUGUUUCUGCUGCUCUAAAGUCUGCUCUCCAGAACUUCCUAAAAACUCUCAAAGUCUCUUCUGCUGCAGGUUGCUUUGUAGAACUGUUCCAGAAAACCUCACUAAACCACAUGGAGGGGCCUCAAGAUAGUCGUCCAAAUGAAACCGAACAAAAACCAAACUAGCACAACCCAAACGCUAAAGUCUCCUGCAGCCUACCAGAGAACCUCUGAGAACAGAGAAUCAGGACAGGAACUCUUACCUUCUGGACAACCAACGCUGGUUCUCAAACAAGAAUACAGAAUGUGUCUGACCAAAAACCUCUGAAGACUCACUACAGCCAAGAUAAAGACACAACUCAGCUGCACCAAAUCCACUAAUCACUGCACACAUUACCACCAUGUGCUAACUGUGGCUAAAGAACCUCAUUUACCAAGACAACUAUCCAGUACAAAGCCCUAAAACACACCAAGAAACACAUUAAAGAUGAUUUUACUGCUGGAAGCUGCAAGCCAACGCCUAAAGAACAAGCUAAAGCAAUGGAGCCAAACCCAGUUCAGUGGUGGAGAAGCAGAGGAAAUGUUUGUAUGCAGCUAAAUAAAGCAGGAAGACACUGAGCUGCUCAGGUGUUCCUGAUAACACCAAGCAGCCACCUGGACAGCCAAUAGGAACACAGCUUCCUGGAAGUCCAGAGGGCUGGCUUAGUGAAGGAAAUUUAGUUUAAAGUUGAAGCAGAAAGUUAACAAAGAAAGUUGAAAACCACCUUCUGAUACCUGAAAUCUCUGAGUUUUCACACAAAGAACACCUGAACAUGUUAAACUGGUUCCAUAGUAGAACCAUCAUUGUAAAAACGUCAUAGUAUGGUGUGUUGCUCAAAAAACAUUAGGACCCGGCUGUCAGGGAACAAACAUGUAAGAAACAUGAGAACAGAGAGAACCCAACCAGUAGGUCACAGUUUAUCAUCCCCCAGUCAUCUCCUGAAGUCCAUAUGGUGAGAGACAUCAGUAUCUGGUUGUUAAUUUACCAGAGGAUGCUUAUAAUCAUGCUGAUGUGGUCUGUACUCUACAGUAUUUUAGUGACUCAAUAAAUGCCUAAGUUGUUUUUUUAAAAUGCUUUUUAGUUUUUAAUAAACAUUUAAUAGCCUAUAUGUAAUCAAUAAAUGGCCUUUGCCUAUCUUAAGAAAAACUCACUCAGAACUCUGAUAUGUUAACAAUACUAAAUAAAUCAAUAAAUACAUGCAUACACACAAAAAUAAGUUAAUACAUUAACUGUGUUAAGAUAAGAUUUAGAUUUUUAAAAAAGUUGUUUAUGUUCUUGCAGAAUCCAGUAUUGCUCACUGGUUGGUCAUUACAUUUUAUUAGUUUGAUUUC